UACGUAGGGGGCUAGCGUUGUCCGGAUUUAUUGGGCGUAAAGCGCGUGUAGGCGGCCAGGUAGGUCCGCUGUGAAAACUCGAGGCUCAACCUCGAGAUGUCGGCGGAAACCAUCUGGCUAGAGUCCGGAAGAGGAGAGUGGAAUUCCCGGUGUAGCGGUGAAAUGCGCAGAUAUCGGGAAGAACACCCGUGGCGAAAGCGGCAUACUGGGCAUUUUCUGACGCUGAGGAACGAAAGCUAGGGUAGCGAACGGG
rnacentral:rRNA from 1 species